CCUGAUGCAGCAACGACCGCGUGAACGAUGAAGGUCUUCGGAUCGUAAAGUUCUGUUGCAGGGGAAGAUAAUGACGGUACCCUGUGAGGAAGCCCCGGCUAACUACGUGCCAGCAGCCGCGGUAAUACGUAGGGGGCUAGCGUUAUCCGGAUUUACUGGGCGUUAAAGGGUGCGUAGGUGGUCCUUCAAGUCGGUGGUUAAAGGCUACGGCUCAACCGUAGUAAGCCGCCGAAACUGGAGGACUUGAGUGCAGGAGAGGAAAGUGGAAUUCCCAGUGUAGCGGUGAAAUGCGUAGAUAUUGGGAGGAACACCAGUAGCGAAGGCGGCUUUCUGGACUGCAACUGACACUGAGGCACGAAAGCGUGGGUAGCAAACAGGAUUAGAUACCCUGGUAGUCCACGCUGUAAACGAUGAGUACUAGGUGUCGGGGGUUACCCCCCUCGGUGCCGCAGCUAACGCAUUAAGUACUCCGCCUGGGGAGUACGCACGCAAGUGUGAAACUCAAAGGAAUUGACGGGGACCCGCACAAGUAGCGGAGCAUGUGGUUUAAUUCGAGCACGCGAAGAACCU
rnacentral:rRNA from 1 species